rnacentral:rRNA from 1 species
UGGGGAAUAUUGCACAAUGGGCGCAAGCCUGAUGCAGCCAUGCCGCGUGUGUGAAGAAGGCCUUCGGGUUGUAAAGCACUUUCAGCGAGGAGGAAGGUGGUGAGCUUAAUACGCUCAUCAAUUGACGUUACUCGCAGAAGAAGCACCGGCUAACUCCGUGCCAGCAGCCGCGGUAAUACGGAGGGUGCAAGCGUUAAUCGGAAUUACUGGGCGUAAAGCGCACGCAGGCGGUUUGUUAAGUCAGAUGUGAAAUCCCCGGGCUCAACCUGGGAACUGCAUUUGAAACUGGCAAGCUAGAGUCUCGUAGAGGGGGGUAGAAUUCCAGGUGUAGCGGUGAAAUGCGUAGAGAUCUGGAGGAAUACCGGUGGCGAAGGCGGCCCCCUGGACGAAGACUGACGCUCAGGUGCGAAGCGUGGGGCAGCAAACAGGAUUAGAUACCCUGGUAGUCCA